UCUUUUUGUUUAUUUUUCAAAAUUGAGAAUGAUAAACUGAUUUCAAGACAGUCACCGGCCUAAUGAGCUAUGAUUAAAUAAUUACUGUGAUAUUUCUUGGUUUGUCAACAUUACUGUAAAAAAUUCUACACAUAUUAACAAAAGACAGCAAAAAUGUCAUUUUUCCAUGGGAAUAUAAAGCUUUCACUACAAGAAAACACAAGUUUUACGAGGGCAGUUUUCCUCGUGAUUUCGUCGUAAAAGCAGUGUUACGAGGAAUUAGCGAGGAAACCCGUUUCGUCGUUAUACGUUUGUCGUAACGCAUAUAUCCUCGCUAAUUCGUCGUAACGUAGCGAGAAAAUAAUUUCGUCGUAAAAGCGAAGAAGAAUAUUUCGUCGUAAAGACCACGUAAAGCUUCCACGUAAGGACGUCGCUAAAUUUCCUCGUAAAUACCUCGAAAGCGAUUCCUCGUUAAAGCCACGUAAAUAACUCGAAAGUAAAUACUCGUAAAGUAAACGUAAAUAUCUUGAUAGCUUUCCUCGUAAAGACCACGUGAAUUUUCCACGUCAUUUCCUUGUAAACAUUUCCUCGUAAAAACCUCUUUAAUCUUCCACGUAAAGAAGUCGCAAAAUAGCUACGAAAUUACUUCGUUUCGUUAUUUUACAGAAAUAAAAAAAAAUUAUAAUUAAAAAAAUUAUUUAAAUUAUUAAUAAAAUUAAAAUUCUAAAAAAAUCAAAACCAAAAUAUUUUAUAUAUAAAUAAGUUUUGAAUUCAUAAUACAAGAACCGAAAUUAAAAAGAACUAAGGGUCGUUAAUCGCCCGGUAGAAUUCAUCACUCCUCGCCGUUACAUCCGCCUCGGCAUGUGAGUCGUCGGUUGGUGACUACCUGGCUCACCGAACAUCUCUCUGUAAUGGGCAGUAAGUCUACCUUUUCGAACCUGAGAAAAAAAUUUAAUUUUUUAAAUUUCCGUCAACAGUAUAUUUUCCAACAUUAUCCACCUAAUCAACACUAAAUAACAUAAGAUCCGUAAAAUUAUCUAAAUUCCCUAUACUAACCACCUAAUCUACCUAAACUAACCAAAUUAGAGAGGAAUUAGAGAGGCUUACCAUUGCAACGAAACAGGGAGGAAGUGGAGAGGAAGUGGAGAGGAAGUAGAGAGGAAAGAAAGAGUGAGCGCUCGGGGUGUAUAUAUAAGAUUACAUUCUGUCGCAAAUUCCUCGUAAUUUUACGACGAAUUACAGAGGCCCGUGUUUUUUUUUACGACGAAACAGCGAGAGAUUACAAAGGCCCGCGUUAUAUUAUACGAGGAAGUUACGAGGAAUUACAAAGGCCCGUGUUUUUUAGGUACGAGGACGUUACGACGAUUUUGCUUACGUGGAAUUACCGAGGAAAGCUUCCCUAUAAAUAUACCCGUAACUCUCCUUCUCAACCCACACCCAAACUCCCAAAUCACACCCUAUCUCACUUCAUACUCUCAAAUCCAAUCCUAUUCAAAUUAUAAAAAUUUGAAAAAAAAGGAAGAGAAGAAGAUAUUGGAAUUUAUGUUGGUGAGACUUAAGUAAUAUAAUUGCUGGAAGUCUUGCCACAUGUAAAUCCAGUAUAUUUCUUCUUUUUCUUUUUUUUUCUAGUUUUUACGGUACGAGGUGUUUACGACGAUUUUGGUUACGAGAUGUUUACGACGAUUCCGUCCUACGUGGAAUUAAAGUGGGCCGCGUUCAUCAUUUACUUUACGUGGUAUUUACGACGAAUCUGUCCUACGUGGUAUUUACGACGAAUCUGUCCUACGUGGUAUUUACGACGUUACGACGAAUCUGUCCAUAAACGAGGAAUUCGUCGUAAGUUCGACGUUACCUACGUGGUAUUUACGACGAAUCUGUCCUACGUGGUAUUUACGACGAAUCUGUCCUACGUGGUAUUUACGAGGAAUUCGUCGUAAGUUCGACGUUAACAUACGAGGAAUUAACGAGUAUUCCAUUUAAAUCCCUAAAACCCGAAACCCGAAACCCCAAACCCCAUAUUCCUUGUCUUCUACUUUAUAUAUUCCAAACCAUAUCUUUAUUUUCAUUCCAAACCACAAUUCCUUAUUUUCAUUCACUCAGAGAGUCUUACGUGGAAUUAGCGUGCCCCGCUUUCUUUAUUUUUUUAAUUUCGUCGUAAACUCCUCGUGGCCUUACGACAACCUUACGACGAUUUUGGCUUGCGUGGAAUUAGCGUGCCCCGCUUUCUUUAUUUUUUUUAAUUUCGUCGUAAACUCCUCGUGGCCUUACGACAACCUUACGACGAUUUUGGCUUACGAGGAAUUAACGAGUAUUACGUAUAAAUCCCUAAAAUCCGAAACUCCAAACCCCAUCUUCCUUAUCUUCUACUUCAUAUAUUCCAAACCCCAAACCCAUCUACCCUUGAACCUCAAUCUAUUCUUUCACCUCAAACCCUAUUUAUAAAAUAUUCCAAACCCCAAACCACAAGUCCUUAUUCAUAACUAAAAUAAACUUUCACAUUACCUUAUUCAUAAAUCAAACUCCCACAUUAUCUUAUUCAUAAAACAAACUACAUAAAAUCAAAUACAUCAAUCGGAUACAUCAACAUUCUCGUCAUCACUAGAAACAUCAUUAUUUUCAUUAAACUCGUCUUCAACAGCUUCGUCUGUGGCAUCGUCGAUAAGAUCUUCGUACUCGUGAUUACGCGGAUCAAUGAGAAGGAUGUCAUCAAUUUCUUGUUCAGGUUCCUCGACUUCAUUUAUCUGUUCUUCUUGCAAUGGUGGUUCUUCUCCACUGAUAAUUCGUCCUCGAGGUGUAACUUUGAUCACAGCUAACCAAUUUAUACCCGAAUCUCUCAUUCGAGGGUAUGGAAGGAAGCUAACUUGGUCUGCUUGUGAAGCUAAGAUGAAAGGCUCGAAUUUGUUGUACCUUCGUCCACCGUUGACAUCAACUACACCGAAUUUGUUAGACCGAACACCUCUGUUGACGACGGAAUCAAACCAUUCACAUUUGAAGAGGACGCAUUUCAGCUUCAAUAUCCCUGAAAAUUCGACUUCAAUAAUCUCCGUCAAGAUCCCGUAGAAAUCUAUUUCCCCUUUCACACAUAUUCCAUAGUUACUGGUCGUCCGCUGUCUACCAUACUCAUAUGUGUGAAAAGUAUAGCCUCGUGUGAAAUUACGACGAAAAUUAAUUGGAUGGCCAAAAAAAACGUGAGCUACCUACCAAGUUGGUGGAUUCAAAAUUUCCUCGUUAAGUACACGUAAAGUAUUUCGUCGUAAAGAACUCGCGAAGUUUACGUGGUAUUUACAAGGAAAUAGUGUUUCCUCGUAAAAGCCACGUCAAUUUACAUCGUCUUUACGACGAAAUUGUUUUGUCGUUACCUUACGACGAAAUAACGAUGCUUCUCUUUUUCCACGUACUUUCCUCGUAAAAUCAACGUACUUUUACGAGGAUUAUUUUUCCUCGUUAAUUAUCCUCGUUAAACUUACGUUUUCUUGUAGUGUUUGCCAAAGUUGUGUAGUCCCAAAGUGAUCUCCUCAAACCGUCCAUGCUUCUCUCCACACAUGUUUGUACAACACUGCCUCACGUUGAAGUCUAUAG
rnacentral:lncRNA from 1 species